AACGAACGCUGGCGGCAUGCCUAACACAUGCAAGUCGAACGAGACCUUCGGGUCUAGUGUCGCACGGGUGCGUAACGCGUGGGAACCUGCCCUUAGGUUCGGAAUAACUCUCCGAAAGGGGUGCUAAUACCGGUUAAUGUCUUCGGAUCAAAGAUUUAUCGCCUUUGGAUGGGCCCGCGUUGGAUUAGCUAGUUUGUAGGGUAAAAGCCUACCAAGGCGCCGAUCCAUAGCUGGUCUGAGAGGAUGAUCAGCCACACUGGGACUGAGACACGGCCCAGACUCCUACGGGAGGCAGCAGUGGGGAAUAUUGGACAAUGGGCGAAAGCCUGAUCCAGCAAUGCCGCGUGAGUGAUGAAGGCCUUAGGGUUGUAAAGCUCUUUUACCCGGGAUGAUAAUGACAGUACCGGAAGAAUAAGCUCCGGCUAACUCCGUG
rnacentral:rRNA from 1 species